rnacentral:rRNA from 1 species
UACGGGAGGCAGCAGUGGGGAAUAUUGCACAAUGGGCGCAAGCCUGAUGCAGCCAUGCCGCGUGUAUGAAGAAGGCCUUCGGGUUGUAAAGUACUUUCAGUCGUGAGGAAGGUGUUAAGGUUAAUAACCUUAGCAAUUGACGUUAGCGACAGAAGAAGCACCGGCUAACUCCGUGCCAGCAGCCGCGGUAAUACGGAGGGUGCGAGCGUUAAUCGGAAUUACUGGGCGUAAAGGGCACGCAGGCGGUUAAUUAAGUUGGAUGUGAAAUCCCCGGGCUUAACCUGGGAAUGGCAUUCAAGCUGGUUAGCUAGAGUCUUGUAGAGGGGGUAGAAUUCCAUGUGUAGCGGUGAAAUGCGUAGAGAUGUGGAGGAAUACCGGUGGCGAAGGCGGCCCCUGGACAAAGGCUGACGCUCAUGUGCGAAAGCGUGGGGAGCAAACG